AUUGAGUCUUGCUGUGUUGCCCAGGCUGGAGUGCAGUCCCGUAAUCUUGGCUCACCGCGACCUCCGCCUCCCAGGGUCAAGGCAAUUCUCCUGCCUCAGCCUCCUGAGUAACUGGGAUUAGAGACGCCCACCACCACGCCCGGCUAAUUUUUGCAUUUUUAGUAGGAGAUGGAUUUUCACCAUGUUGGCCAGGCUGGUCUCGAACUCCUGACCUCAAGUGAUCCGCCCACCUCGGCCUCCCAAAAUGCUAGGGUUACAGGUGUGAGCCACUGCACCUGGCCAAUGUUGGCAGUUUUAAAAGAUAUAGUCAGUUGUUUUGUGGAAUGUCCCUUAAUUUGGGCUUUGGCAGACCUUUUCCUCAUAUUAGACUGGGCUUGUGGAUUUCAAGGAAGAAGACGGCAGAGGGGAAGUGCACUUCUCGUCAGCCUAUCAGAGUUCCAGGCUCUCGACGGUGUGAAAAUCUCAGAAACGGCCUUGCCAGGUUGAAGCUUUCAGCCACAUUAGCCAAAGGGGACCAGAUCUUCAGCACCUUCAUUUUUUAAUUGGCUUUUGAUGUGGGACAUUUCUUAACGACACAACCAUCUUGAACUGAGACAUUUCUUUUUUUUUUUUUUUUUUUAAAGACAGAGAGAAAGGGAUUUACUAUACUCUUCUAAGGACAUUAAUGAAAAAGAAAUAUUGUUUAAAAUUUAGCAGGAUGAAGAAAAAUUUCCACUGGGACAUUUCUUAACAACACAACCAUCUCCUCUGUUGAAUCUGCACAGCCUUUGGACAUUCGUUACACCACAGAAUUGGUCUCAGUUUUUUUUUUUUUUUUUUUUUUUUAGACGGAGUUUCACUCUUGUUACCCAGGCUGGAGUGCAAUGGUGCAAUCUUGGCUCACUGCAACCUCCGCCUCCUGGGUUCAGGCAAUUCUCCUGCCUCAGCCUCCUGAGUAACUGGGACUACAGGCACGCACCACCAUGCCCAGCUAAUUUUUUGUAUUUUUAGUAGACGGGGUUUCACCAUGUUGACCAGGAUGGUCUCGAUCUCUUGACCUCGUGAUCCACCUGCCUCUGCCUCCCAAAGUGCUGGGAUUACAGGCAUGAGCCACCGUGCCCGGCCCUGGACUCAGCUUAUUUGGGAAUUAUUGUUUCUCCAAGCUUACUUAGACCACCGGUG
rnacentral:lncRNA from 13 species